AUUGAACGCUGGCGGCAGGCUUAACACAUGCAAGUCGAACGGUAACAUAAAGAAGCUUGCUUCUUUGAUGACGAGUGGCGGACGGGUGAGUAAUGCUUGGGAAUCUAGCUUAUGGAGGGGGAUAACUACGGGAAACUGUAGCUAAUACCGCGUAGAACCGAGAGAUGAAAGUGUGGGACCUUCGGGCCACAUGCCAUAGGAUGAGCCCAAGUGGGAUUAGGUAGUUGGUGAGGUAAAGGCUCACCAAGCCGACGAUCUCUAGCUGGUCUGAGAGGAUGACCAGCCACACUGGGACUGAGACACGGCCCAGACUCCUACGGGAGGCAGCAGUGGGGAAUAUUGCGCAAUGGGGGCAACCCUGACGCAGCCAUGCCGCGUGAAUGAAGAAGGCCUUCGGGUUGUAAAGUUCUUUCGGUAGCGAGGAAGGCAUUUAGUUUAAUAGACUAGGUGAUUGACGUUAACUACAGAAGAAGCACCGGCUAACUCCGUGCCAGCAGCCGCGGUAAUACGGAGGGUGCGAGCGUUAAUCGGAAUAACUGGGCGUAAAGGGCACGCAGGCGGUGACUUAAGUGAGGUGUGAAAGCCCCGGGCUUAACCUGGGAAUUGCAUUUCAUACUGGGUCGCUAGAGUACUUUAGGGAGGGGUAGAAUUCCACGUGUAGCGGUGAAAUGCGUAGAGAUGUGGAGGAAUACCGAAGGCGAAGGCAGCCCCUUGGGAAUGUACUGACGCUCAUGUGCGAAAGCGUGGGGAGCAAACAGG
rnacentral:rRNA from 1 species